UACGGAGGGUGCAAGCGUUAUCCGGAUUCACUGGUUUAAAGGGAGCGUAGGUGGCCUUAUAAGUCAGUGGUGAAAUCUCUGGGCUUAACCCAGAAAUUGCCAUUGAUACUGUAGGGCUUGAGUACAGUUGCUGUGGGCGGAAUAUGACAUGUAGUGGUGAAAUACAUAGAGAUGUCAUAGAACACCGAUUGCGAAGGCAGCUCACAAAACUGUAACUGACACUGAGGCUCGAAAGUGCGGGAUCAAACAGG
rnacentral:rRNA from 1 species